rnacentral:misc_RNA from 1 species
UGAAGUAAAAGUCGUAACAAGGUCUCCGUUGGUGAACCAGCGGAGGGAUCAUUACCGAGUGCAAACUCAUAACCCUUUGUGAACCUAUAUCUGUUGCUUCGGCGGCUCGCUCUCGGGCGAGCCCGCCGGUAAUAUCAGUAUCUCUGUUUGAACCCGACGAUACUUCUGAGUGUUCUUAGCGAACAGUUAAAACUUUUAACAACGGAUCUCUUGGCUCUA